rnacentral:lncRNA from 1 species
UCCUCAGAGCGAAGGAUGGCUCACUAUUGAACCCCUCGUAGGGUGCGCUGAGAAGUUAUUAUUAAGGGCAUUCUCGAUCUUCUUAUCUAUCCUCUCGUCGAGUGUCUGGAACUAUCUUUCAAUGGUAAGAUCUCCGAUGGUACAGAUCUCAGAAUACUGAGAAAAAUGACGAUCAGAGGUUGAAUCAUGCCUUGAUUAUGGGACUACAAAAUCACUGCCUGAUCGAUUGCUAAGCCCUGGGAUGGCUCUGACAAGUCUGCCUCCUCUCUGGGCUCUGAGGAGGCACACACAGCUCUGAUUGUGGUGGUAGCUGAGGAACCGACUACAGAGCUGGA